rnacentral:misc_RNA from 1 species
UUAACUAUUUGCUUUUUACUUCAGGCUGCUGAUUGUUCAGGGUUGGUGUUCCGGCCGGCGCGGCCCCGUGAGGGGCCGCGCCUUGUCGCCGAACGCCGUGCGCUUCGGGGGCUACGCAAAGGGUGGGGGCGGGCGCCGGAGCGCCCUUUACCCAGUAAUGAUCCUUCCGCAGGUUCACCUACGGAAA